rnacentral:rRNA from 1 species
UACAAGCCUCACUAAGGUGAAACCGCGAAUGGCUCAUUAAAUCACACCUAAUCUACUGGAUAGUAAAAAGUUACUUGGAUAACUGCGGUAAUUCUGGAGCUAAUACAUGCACAAAGCCGCGACUCACGAAGCGGCGCUUUUAUUAGAUCAAAACCAAACGGCUUCGGCUGUACUCAUGGUGACUCUGAAUAACUUUGGGCUGAUCGCAUAGCCUUGAGCUGGCGACAUAUCCUUCGAAGGUGUGCCCUAUCAACUUUCGACUGUGGCAUAGACGCCCACAGUGGUUUUGACGGGUAACGGGGAAUCAGGGUUCGAUUCCGGAGAGGGAGCCUUAAAAACGGCUACCACAUCUAAGGAAGGCAGCAGGCACGCAAAUUACCCAAUGACCGAAGGUCGAGGUAGUGACGAAAAAUAACGAUAGAGGACUCAUCCGAGGCCCUCUAAUUGGAAUGAGUACACUUUAAAACCGUCCCCGAGGAUCUAUUGGAGGGCAAGUCUGGUGCCAGCAGCCGCGGUAAUUCCAGCUCCAAUAGCGUAUAUUAAAGUUGUUGUGGUUAAAAAGCUCGUAGUUGGAUCUCAACAGCCUUGAAGCGGUUAACUUUGUAGUUUUACUGCUUUAUAGGCUGUGCUUUUGCUGGAGGUUUAGGGGUGCUCUUGAUCGAGUGUCUCUGGAUGCCAGCAGGUUUACUUUGAAAAAAUUAGAGUGCUCAAAGCAGGCUAAAAUGCCUGAAUAUUCGUGCAUGGAAUAAUAGAAUAGGAUGUCGAUCCUAUUUUGUUGGUUUUCGGGACUCGACAUAAUGAUA